rnacentral:tRNA from 1 species
GGGGGUUUAGCUCAGUGGCAUAAGCACCUGCCUGGCAAGCAGGAGGUUGUAAGUUCGAUCCCCA